rnacentral:lncRNA from 1 species
AAACAAUUAUAACGCGAUACAUCUUCCGCAAAUAUUUUAAUGUGACCCUGAUUGAAUUAAAAGAAAAUUAGCAACCCAAGAAAAAAAUGAGAAAAAGAGGAAGCAUAAGGUCAUCUAUAACUUCCGGUUUAAGUGAUAUGACAAAUGAUAAUAGUUCUGAUAGAUAUAAUUUAGAAAGUAGCCAAGACAUGCCUGUUGAUGAAAUCAGAAUACC